rnacentral:rRNA from 1 species
UACGGGGGGGGCAAGCGUUGUUCGGAAUUACUGGGCGUAAAGGGCUCGUAGGCGGCCAACUAAGUCAGACGUGAAAUCCCUCGGCUUAACCGGGGAACUGCGUCUGAUACUGGAUGGCUGGAGUUUGGGAGAGGGAUGCGGAAUUCCAGGUGUAGCGGUGAAAUGCGUAGAUAUCUGGAGGAACACCGGUGGCGAAGGCGGCAUCCUGGACCAAUAUUGACGCUGAGGAGCGAAAGCCAGGGGAGCAAACGGG